UACGUAGGGGGCAAGCGUUGUCCGGAAUCAUUGGGCGUAAAGAGCGUGUAGGCGGCCCGGUAAGUCCGUUGUGAAAGUCCAGGGCUCAACCCUGGAAAGCCGAUGGAUACUGCCGGGCUAGAGUUCGGAAGAGGCGAGUGGAAUUCCGUGGUGUAGCGGUGGAAUGCGCAGAUAUCAGGAGGAACACCUAUAGCGAAGGCAGCUCGCUGGGACGACACUGACGCUGAGACGCGAAAGCGUGGGGAGCGAACAGG
rnacentral:rRNA from 1 species